rnacentral:rRNA from 1 species
UCGCGGGGCAGCAUGAAGGAUGCUUGCAUUCUUCGAUGGCGACCGGCGCACGGGUGAGUAACGCGUAUCCAACCUGCCUGUUACCACGGCACAGCCCGUCGAAAGGCGGAUUAAUGCCGUAUGUGGUCCUAAGCGGGCAUCUAAUUAGGACUAAAGGAUUGGCGGUAACGGAUGGGGAUGCGUCCGAUUAGCUAGACGGCGGGGUAACGGCCCACCGUGGCGACGAUCGGUAGGGGUUCUGAGAGGAAGGUCCCCCACAUUGGAACUGAGACACGGUCCAAACUCC